AAUCAACGCUGGCGGCGCGCCUAACACAUGCAAGUCGAGCGAGAAAGGGGAGCAAUCCCUGAGUACAGCGGCGUACGGGUGAGUAACACGUGGGUAAUCUACCUCUUUGUGGGGAAUAACCCUGGGAAACCGGGGCUAAUACCGCAUAAGCCUGAGAAGGGAAAGCAGCAAUGCGCUGAGAGAGGAGCCCGCGGCCGAUUAGCUAGUUGGUAGGGUAACGGCCUACCAAGGCAAAGAUCGGUAGCCGGCCUGAGAGGGCACACGGCCACACUGGCACUGAAACACGGGCCAGACUCCUACGGGAGGCAGCAGUGGGGAAUCUUGCACAAUGGGGGAAACCCUGAUGCAGCGACGCCGCGUGAGCGAUGAAGCCCUUCGGGGUGUAAAGCUCUUUCGGCAGGGAAGAUGAUGACGGUACCUGCAGAAGCAGCUGCGGCUAACUACGUGCCAGCAGCCGCGGUAAUACGUAGGCAGCAAGCGUUGUUCGGAGUUACUGGGCGUAAAGGGUGUGUAGGCGGUCCUCUAAGUUUGGUGUGAAAUCUCCCGGCUUAACCGGGAGGGUGCGCCGAAAACUGAAGGGCUAGAGUGCGGGAGAGGAGAGUGGAAUUCCUGGUGUAGCGGUGAAAUGCGUAGAUAUCAGGAGGAACACCGGUGGUGUAGACGGCUCUCUGGACCGUAACUGACGCUGAAACACGAAAGCGUGGGUAGCAAACAGGAUUAGAUACCCUGGUAGUCCACGCCCUAAACGAUGCAUAUUUGGUGUGGGUCAUUCAGUUGAUCCGUGCCGGAGCUAACGCGUUAAAUAUGCCGCCUGGGGAGUACAGUCGCAAGGCUG
rnacentral:rRNA from 1 species